AGCGAACGCUGGCGGCAGGCUUAACACAUGCAAGUCGAGCGGGCACUUCGGUGUCAGCGGCAGCCGGGUGAGUAACACGUGGGAACGUACCCUUUGGUUCGGAAUAACGCUGGGAAACUAGCGCUAAUACCGGAUACGCCCUUUUGGGGAAAGGCUUGCUGCCGAAGGAUCGGCCCGCGUCUGAUUAGCUAGUUGGUGGGGUAAUGGCCUACCAAGGCGACGAUCAGUAGCUGGUCUGAGAGGAUGAUCAGCCACACUGGGACUGAGACACGGCCCAGACUCCUACGGGAGGCAGCAGUGGGGAAUAUUGGACAAUGGGCGCAAGCCUGAUCCAGCCAUGCCGCGUGAGUGAUGAAGGCCUUAGGGUUGUAAAGCUCUUUUGUCCGGGACGAUAAUGACGGUACCGGAAGAAUAAGCCCCGGCUAACUUCGUG
rnacentral:rRNA from 1 species